rnacentral:rRNA from 1 species
AUUGAACGCUGGCGGCAGGCCUAACACAUGCAAGUCGAGCGGAGCGGCGGACGGGUGAGUAAUGCCUAGGAAUCUGCCUGGUAGUGGGGGAUAACGUCCGGAAACGGGCGCUAAUACCGCAUACUAUCAGAUGAGCCUAGGUCGGAUUAGCUAGUUGGUGGGGUAAAGGCCUACCACGGCGACGAUCCGUAACUGGUCUGAGAGGAUGAUCAGUCACACUGGAAAUAGUAGACGGUCCAGACUCCUACGGCAGGCAGCAGUGGGAAAUAUUGGACAAUGGGCGAAAUCCUGAUCCAGCCAUGGCGCGUGUGUGGAGAAGGUCUUCGGAGUUUAAAGCACUUAAAGUUGGGAGGCGUUACCAACAGAAUAAGCACCGGCUAACUUCGUGCCAGCAGCCGCGGUAAUUC